CGGACUUAAUUGGAUUGAGCCUUGGUAUGGGUGAGGG
rnacentral:tRNA from 1 species